rnacentral:rRNA from 1 species
CGAGUGGCGAACGGGUGAGUAACGCGUGAGGAACCUGCCUCAAAGGAGGGGACAACAGUUGGAAACGACUGCUAAUACCGCAUAAGCCCACGACCCGGCAUCGGGAAGAGGGAAAAGGAGCAAUCCGCUUUGAGAUGGCCUCGCGUCCGAUUAGCUAGUUGGUGAGGUAACGGCCCACCAAGGCGACGAUCGGUAGCCGGACUGAGAGGUUGAACGGCCACAUUGGGACUGAGACACGGCCCAG